ACUACGGGCGGCAGCAGUGGGGAAUAUUGCACAAUGGGGGAAACCCUGAUGCAGCAACGCCGCGUGAAGGAAGACGGUUUUCGGAUUGUAAACUUCUAUCAAUAGGGAAGAAAGAAAUGACGGUACCUGACCAAGAAGCCCCGGCUAACUACGUGCCAGCAGCCGCGGUAAUACGUAGGGGGCAAGCGUUAUCCGGAAUUACUGGGAGUAAAGGGAGCGUAGACGGUUAAGUAAGUCUGGAGUGAAAUGCCGGGGACCAACCCCGGGACUGCUCUGGAAACUAUUGAACUUGAGUGCAGUAGAGGUAAGCGGAAUGCCUGGUGUAGCGGUGAAAUGCGUAGAUAGUAGGAAGAACACCAGUGGCGAAGGCGGCUUACUGGACUGUAACUGACGUUGAGGCUCGAAAGCGUGGGGAGCAAACAGGAUUAGAUACCCUUGUAGUC
rnacentral:rRNA from 1 species